rnacentral:lncRNA from 1 species
AAGGGCUUUGUCUCAUUACACACAUGCAUAUGGUACAUAGUUAUAAUGAAACUUGCUCAUUCAUCUAACAUUGUAUACAAUAUUCAUUGUAAUCAUCGCAACUACACUGUUUAGGUUGUUUACAAGUACACUUUUUGCAGGUUGAUUCGCAGGUUUCUGCAAUAUCUACACAUUGGCAUGAAAAAGGAAUCCCUGGACUAAUGUACCAUAAAACAUCAUUACAGCACCUGGUGGUUGUCGAGUUGGCAUGGUUGUUCAUCAAGCUUAAGAGGAAAAGCAACAUAAUCAUUGCAUUCUUGUUCAUCAGGCUCAUUAUAUCUUUCUGCUUAAUAUCUCUAAUUUCUUUGCUUUGUGAAAAGCCAAUCAUGUAUGGCUCUAUUUAUAAUGGAGUGUGAUAAGGGUUUUGUUUUUCAAUUCUUGUGAAGAGCCAAUUAAUCAUGUAUAACUCUAUUUAUAAUGGAGUGUAAUAAGGGUUAAGGGUCUUUGAAUCGAAUAAAAUAGAAUGAUAAUGCUAUUUUUAUACAAGUUUCGUCU